AAAAAUAAUAAUAAUAAGGCUGCCCCUUCAGAUGAUGUGUUGGGAGGAGGCUGGAGAUGGAAGAGCAACUGUGACAUUUGUGAUCACCAUGUGGUGAGCAGAGGAAACUCCCCUCUCUUCCACCCUCUUGUCAGGAGCCUGUGCUCAAGGAGCAAAGGUCUGUGCCAUCGAUAACUAAAAAAUGCUGGGGGUUGUGUUUCCUCUUCCCAAUGUCUCAUCGGGCAGGAGUUUAGUGAAUCCAAAGCUUCUUCUCCAAGGACGGUCUUACUCCAGUGAGUCUACAGAGAUGGAUACAGCCCAGCCUCUGCCUACAGCACAGACGCAGCGGUCACACAUGGGAAUGGCCACCCUUCAGUGCAGACUGCUUAGUGUUCAUGUGGGAGCAGAGAAGAAAGUUCCAUUGGUCUAGAGAGCUGAGUUAAGAAGCUCUUAAACACAUUCUUUGCAAGAAUGAGUCAGUGCUUCUUUCCUAUCCCUUAAACUGUCUCUUUCCCUUUAGCUUGGUUAAUGCAUUCUGUAACAACAUCACAUAAAUUACAAAGGAGGCAAAGGAUGGAAUUAUUUAAAACUAAAUAAUUAUUCACUGUGACUUGAUUGGCUUCCCAAAAUUAAGGUUGCCUCUUUCAGAAUGCAGUGGUGGAUAAGAAGGAAAAGAUGAGAGUAACAAAGAAAACCAAAGAAAAAUGAAAAUGAAUGGGGAAAAUAAAUUAAUGUGUAGGUACUCUUUCAUCUUCUGGCUGGAAGAUCUUCCCCCUCAUCAGAGAGAGUUUUCCAAGGACAACUACUAUGCUAGGAGAAAGCCUGUUUUCAGCUGCAUCAGCUCUGGUCAAAUGAGUAAUGCAAGAACUCAUUCUGCUACGUGCCUCAUACAAAUAUCUCAGUAGAGAUGAUGUACACUGUAAGCACACUUCUCUGCCAGAUAUUUGUGCAUUUAGCUCCUCUAAACUUUGUGUCUUAGACAAAUGGAUCCCCCAAAGUCUAUGUUCUAGGAAUUGUUGGACAUGCUUUAGGUCUGGGUAAGUCACUGAUUUGAAUGCAGAAACCCAGAGAAAAAACAAUGUUUUGCAGCCAGUGCCUACACAGAAGACAACAGCAAUGCACAUGGCCAGGGGCCAAAUGCCCCAUUACUGUAAGUGGGUGCAUCUUCAUCUGGCUCUCUGCUGAAGCACUUCCAGAAAGAUAUGAAGGAGGAACUCCAAAGUGAAGCAGCUUCUUGUCAUGCCUCCCAUGUAGGUGUUGCCACAGGGCUGUGCAGAGACUCCUUGUGGCAGCCACAAUUCCCAGCUGAUGGUGAGAUGGAUGAUGUCCUCAGGGCACAGACUAAGGGAAAUGGGGGCCCACAAGGUCACAUCAACACUCCAGACCCAGACACAUCCUUCUCCCACAAGAGCCCUAUUCUAAGCUCAUUCUGCCAGCUGGACCUUUCCCCUUCUCAGCAGCCUGCCAGCCUCACACACCAGAGAUGAGAGCACAAAGGUGGGUUAGCCACCUCCACUCGGGCUUUUUGUCCCCUCAUGGAAUCAAACGAGUUCCCAUCACCCCAGGUUAAUGACCUUGGCUCUGCUGGGAGGGAAAUGGCCCCAGAUCUGCCCUCUGGGCAGGGUGCUCAGAUAAGCAGGGGCAACUUCCUUCCCCAGUGGUCCAACGUUGGGCGAGGGGAACUAAUUGGAAACAAGAGCAGCUCCUUCCUUUAUAAGCUGAACUUUGCUUUUCUUUCACAGCUGGAACUUCUGCCUCAUCCCUCUACCAGCCCUAGUCCUGGUACAUUCAGCCACAGAUAUCUCUGCUUGUGCACUGGCUGUAUUUUUCAUGUUUAUUAUCAUCCAGCCCAGUGUAGUGCCAUCUGGCACACAUACACACGGGGAAGAAAACCAUAUAUUCAGCAAAUGGAGCAUACAGGGUUUAGAUUUUGUUUUGUCUUGUUUUUCUUAUUCUUCCAGUUUCUCUUAAAAUUAUGUGGAAAAGAUAGACAAGCAAUUCUCCAUCAUGAAAUGAUCAAAACUCCCAGUUAUGACAUUAAAAAUUACUAGAGAGCAGAGAUGGUAGGAAGAGACAAGAACCCCUUUUUGCUGAAAUACAUUUGUCUUUUCCUCCUUCUAUUUCAUUUCACCUUGUGCUCAGAUAAGGAACAGAAUUACUUUAAAAUGUUUGCAUUAAUUAUUUUUAUUCAGGAUUUGUUCUAGCUUUUCAAAGAAUUAUUUUACUGUAAGACAUGUGUGAGUGAUAUAUAACUAGUGACACUCCUCCAAAGAAGUGGAAAACUGUGAGACAUCCUGUAGUCUUCAAAACCUUUGCUGUUUUUUAUUGCCACAAUAAAAUCGAUUCAAAAUACUUCUUCAAAGUAGAUAUAAAAAGCCACACAGACUAUUUUCAGUGAAGCUAGCACCUAUUGCAUUACUACUUUAAUUCAAAGACAGUUUUGUAACAGAGUUGUACAAUCAAAGCAUAUUUCUUCCCUGAAAAUUCAUGCACUGUAAGAUUUUCAGUUGAGUUGCCCAUGGAAAAAGUACUACACCAUGUAUUGUAUUACUUGAUUCAUUUUCUUUCAAAUUUUACUUUAAUUUAAACUUUGGCUGAUUACUGUAUUGUGAUCUAAGUCAGCAAUCUCAAACUAACUAUCAACAUCACUUUUGAAGAAACUCUACAACUGCAUGAUAACGAUGAAAUUUAAGUUUCUGUCAGUUAUUGUGUAAUGUCUACACCAUGGAAAAGCAAACCUUCAGGUAUUUUAAUUCCAUUUGCAUGUAUUAUAUUUGCAUUGUGUUCUUCGUACUUCAUUUUUUGAAGUACAAUUCUGAGCUAUAAAAAUACUACUAAAAACCUGUUUGGGGUAUUUAUUUAUUUUCUUUUUCUAAAUUGAAUUAUAGCUUUGAUGAAAAUGUGAAAGGAAAUAGUUUUGGGGAAAAAAUUGUCAGCUACUCAGAUUUCUUUGGAAAAACAACUUGUUUUACAGGUACUGAUGCAGACUGAUAGAAUUGUUCUCUGAUCCUACUAAAACAGAGAAACACGUUUGAGUGCAAUUAAUAUAGUAUCUGUAUACUGAGUUUGAUUCUGGUCUCACAUCUGUUUAAAAUUCACAAUAUCUCUUGCUCAAGCCUUGAUCCAACUCUGAGUGAUGUUACUCACAAUGACUUCUGCUGGCCUGUGGUUCAAGGGCUUUUACACCACCGUGCCUUUGCCACUAGGCUGAAAAAGGUUAUUUUUGAUACUUCUUUCUUUUCCUGUGAAACCAGAUUAACUUGGAAAGAAUUAAAAAUGUUUGAACAGAGAUGCUCAAGGUUACUUUUUAUGGCAAUACAUCUAAUUUAAAAUAUUUCCUACAAACAAAUUAAAUUUGAUAGCAACACAAAAA